UACGUAGGGCGCAAGCGUUGUCCGGAAUUAUUGGGCGUAAAGAGCGCGCAGGCGGUCGUUUAAGUCGAAUGUGAAAGCCCCCGGCUUAACUGGGGAGGGUCAUUCGAUACUGAUCGACUUGAAGGCAGGAGAGGGAAGCAGAAUUCCCGGUGUAGUGGUGAAAUGCGUAGAUAUCGGGAGGAAUACCAGUGGCGAAGGCGGCAUCCUGGACCGGCAUUGACGCUGAUGAGCGAAAGCUAGGGGAGCAAACGGG
rnacentral:rRNA from 1 species